GUUCCCUCUGAAGUCUCUGGGGAAGGAUCUGUUCCAGGCUUCUCUUCCAGCUUCUGAUUCCUACUUCCGGUUUGGGACUUACUGUCGACAAGAUAAGAAAAGUGAUGGACAAAGUGAGGAGGAGUCAUGUGCUCAAGGACCCUCCAAUCCAGCAGGGGAAAGAGAUCACGGCUGAAUAAAACUAGAAAUCCAUACCAAGAGGAACUUCAGCAACUAUAAAAAUAUGUGGAAAUUAAACAACAUGCUUCUGAACAAUCAUUGAGUCAAUGAAGAAAUUCAGAUGGAA
rnacentral:lncRNA from 1 species